CCCGUAGCUCAGCUGGAGAGAGCGCUGCCCUCCGAAGGCAGAGGUCACAAGUUCGAAUCUUGUCGGG
rnacentral:tRNA from 1 species